rnacentral:rRNA from 1 species
GCUGGCGGCGUGCUAUACAUGCAAGUCGAGCGAACAGACGAGGAGCUUGCUCCUCUGACGUUAGCGGCGGACGGGUGAGUAACACGUGGAUAACCUACCUAUAAGACUGGGAUAACUUCGGGAAACCGGAGCUAAUACCGGAUAAUAUAUUGAACCGCAUGGUUCAAUAGUGAAAGACGGUUUUGCUGUCACUUAUAGAUGGAUCCGCGCCGCAUUAGCUAGUUGGUAAGGUAACGGCUUACCAAGGCAACGAUGCGUAGCCGACCUGAGAGGGUGAUCGGCCACACUGGAACUGAGACACGGUCCAGACUCCUACGGGAGGCAGCAGUAGGGAAUCUUCCGCAAUGGGCGAAAGCCUGACGGAGCAACGCCGCGUGAGUGAUGAAGGUCUUCGGAUCGUAAAACUCUGUUAUUAGGGAAGAACAAAUGUGUAAGUAACUAUGCACGUCUUGACGGUACCUAAUCAGAAAGCCACGGCUAACUACGUGCCAGCAGCCGCGGUAAUACGUAGGUGGCAAGCGUUAUCCGGAAUUAUUGGGCGUAAAGCGCGCGUAGGCGGUUUUUUAAGUCUGAUGUGAAAGCCCACGGCUCAACCGUGGAGGGUCAUUGGAAACUGGAAAACUUGAGUGCAGAAGAGGAAAGUGGAAUUCCAUGUGUAGCGGUGAAAUGCGCAGAGAUAUGGAGGAACACCAGUGGCGAAGGCGACUUUCUGGUCUGUAACUGACGCUGAUGUGCGAAAGCGUGGGGAUCAAACAGGAUUAGAUACCCUGGUAGUCCACGCCGUAAACGAUGAGUGCUAAGUGUUAGGGGGUUUCCGCCCCUUAGUGCUGCAGCUAACGCAUUAAGCACUCCGCCUGGGGAGUACGACCGCAAGGUUGAAACUCAAAGGAAUUGACGGGACCGCACAAGCGGUGGAGCAUGUGGUUUAAUUCGAAGCAACGCGAAGAACCUUACCAAAUCUUGACAUCCUCUGACCCCUCUAGAGAUAGAGUUUUCCCCUUCGGGGGACAGAGUGACAGGUGGUGCAUGGUUGUCGUCAGCUCGUGUCGUGAGAUGUUGGGUUAAGUCCCGCAACGAGCGCAACCCUUAAGCUUAGUUGCCAUCAUUAAGUUGGGCACUCUAAGUUGACUGCCGGUGACAAACCGGAGGAAGGUGGGGAUGACGUCAAAUCAUCAUGCCCCUUAUGAUUUGGGCUACACACGUGCUACAAUGGACAAUACAAAGGGCAGCGAAACCGCGAGGUCAAGCAAA